AACGAACGCUGGCGGCAUGCCUAACACAUGCAAGUCGAACGAAGCCUUCGGGCUUAGUGGCGCACGGGUGCGUAACGCGUGGGAAUCUGCCCUCAGGUACGGAAUAACUCAGGGAAACUUGGGCUAAUACCGUAUAAUGACUUCGGUCCAAAGAUUUAUCGCCUGAGGAUGAGCCCGCGUCGGAUUAGCUAGUUGGUGAGGUAAAAGCUCACCAAGGCGACGAUCCGUAGCNGGUCUGAGAGGAUGAUCAGCCACACUGGGACUGAGACACGGCCCAGACUCCUACGGGAGGCAGCAGUGGGGAAUAUUGGACAAUGGGCGAAAGCCUGAUCCAGCAAUGCCGCGUGAGUGAUGAAGGCCUUAGGGUUGUAAAGCUCUUUUGGCGGGGACGAUAAUGACGGUACCCGCAGAAUAAGC
rnacentral:rRNA from 1 species